rnacentral:rRNA from 2 species
UUGAAUUGAAGAGUUUGAUCAUGGCUCAGAUUGAACGCUGGCGGCAGGCUUAACACAUGCAAGUCGAACGGUA